rnacentral:rRNA from 1 species
GACGGAGGAUGCAAGUGUUAUCCGGAAUCACUGGGCGUAAAGCGUCUGUAGGUGGUUUAGAAAGUCUGCUGUUAAAGCUUGAAGCUUAACUUCAAAAAUGCAGUGGAAACUUCUAGACUCGAGUGUGGUAGGGGUAGAGGGAAUUUCCAGUGGAGCGGUGAAAUUCGUAGAUAUUCGGAAGAACACCAGUGGCGAAGGCGACUUACUGGACACAUAUUGACGCUGAGGUGCGAAAGCGUGGGGAGCAAACAGG